GCUACCAUGCAGUCGACGGUAACAGAGGGUAUUUUUGUACUCUGCUGACGAGUGGCGAACGGGUGAGUAAGGUAUAGUUAAUUUGCCUCUUGGAGGGGGAUAGCCAUUGGAAACGAUGAUUAAUACCCCAUACUCCUAACUUAGUAAGGUAAGUUAGGGAAAAGCGAUUAAGUGCCAAGAGAUAAGACUAUAUGGUAUCAGGUAGUUGGUGGGGUAAGAGCCUACCAAGCCGAUGACGCCUAGCUGGUCUGAGAGGAUGAUCAGCCACACUGGAACUGAGUCACGGUCCAGACUCCUACGGGAGGCAGCAGUGGGGAAUAUUGGGCAAUGGGGGAAACCCUGACCCAGCAACGCCGCGUGGAGGAAGAGGCAUUUCGGUGUGUAAACUCCUUUUAUAUAGGAAGAUAAUGACGGUACUAUAUGAAUAAGCGCCGGCUAACUCCGUGCCAGCAGCCGCGGUAAUACGGAGGGUGCAAGCGUUACUCGGAAUCACUGGGCGUAAAGCGCAUGUAGGCGGGUUAAUAAGUUAGAAGUGAAAUCCUACAGCUUAACUGUAGAACUGCUUCUAAAACUGUUAACCUAGAGUCUGGGAGAGGAAGAUGGAAUUAGUAGUGUAGGGGUAAAAUCCGUAGAGAUUACUAGGAAUACCAAAAGCGAAGGCGAUUUUCUGGAACAGUACUGACGCUGAGAUGCGAAAGCG
rnacentral:rRNA from 1 species